GGCCCAGCAACGGCCGCGCUGCGUGAACCGUGACUGGGGCGCCUGGGAAAGGCAGAGCGGAGAGACAGAGGCCAGAUGUAGUGACAGAGAAUCAUCCAAACCCGAGCAGACUGGAAGAGCUGGGUGCCAGGACACUGUAAGAAACGGACUUUUCAGAUCAGCGCUAAUCGAGAGCAGCGCGGCGCAGGGCCCAGGACGAGCGCAUCCAGGAAGCAGCGGCCGGCGGGCAGCUUCCAGGCCAGAGACCUCACUGACCGCUUCUGUUCGCAAGGGCGCUGGCUCAGGAGCCUCGACUGCAUGAGGAGACACGCGAGGGAUUUCCAUUCCUCGGCUCCUACUCGGGCUUCCGCUGCGGGGGACGCAGAGCGUGGGCGGAGCUUCGUGUAACCACGGUUACCGAUUUGCUUCCAGCAGGCACCAAAAGGGGACAUGAGAGCCUGCAGCAAGAAGGCUACCAUCUGCAAGCCAGAAAAGAGCUCUCCUCAUGAGCCAGAUCUUCCAGCCUCUUGAUCUGGGACUUCCCAGCCUCCAGGGCCAUGAGAAGGAAGUGUCUGUUGCUGAAGCCCCUGUUCAAUGGCAUUCUGUGACAACAGCCUAGGCUGAGACAACCUGUUCCUGCCUCUGAGUCCACAUCUGCUCCAGCCCUAAAGGUGCAUGUGUUUGCCAGUGUCCUCUCUGCUGUCCCUCUAUAUG